UACGGCCACAUCACGUUGAAACACCGGAUCUCGUACGAUCACUGAGUGAAGCAAUGUCGAGCCUGGUCAGUAUUUAGAUGGGUAACCAUUUGGGAACAGCAAGUGUU